rnacentral:rRNA from 1 species
GACGAACGCUGGCGGCGUGCUUAACACAUGCAAGUCGAACGGAAAGGCCUGCUUUCCCUUGUGGAUUGCGGGUACUCGAGUGGCGAACGGGUGAGUAACACGUGAGUGAUCUGCCCCCAACUUGGGUAUAAGCCUGGGAAACUGGGUCUAAUUCCCGAUAGGACUGCAGGGUGGUGCCUGUGGUGGAAAACGAUUUUCUAGUGGUUGGGGAUGAGCUCGCGGCCUAUCAGCUUGUUGGUGGGGUAAUGGCCUACCAAGGCGGCGACGGGUAGCCGGCCUGAGAGGGGGGACGGCCACAUUGGGACUGAGAUACGGCCCAGACGCCUACGGGAGGCAGCAGUGGGGAAUAUUGCAGAAGGGGCGGAAGCCUGAUGCAGCGACGCAGCGUGGGGGAUGACGGCCUUCGGGUUGUAAACUCCUUUCGACCGCGAGGAAGCCACCUGGUUGGAAGGGUGGUGACGGUAGUGGUAGAAGAAGCACCGGCUAACUACGUG